rfam:Gossypium arboreum cultivar AKA8401 contig_8_7, whole genome shotgun sequence.
UGUUACAAAUUUUAUCCAAUUCUAUUAUUAAAAAUUGCGUGACUGAUAGAAAAACCUAACAGUUAUAUUGGUGUGCCACGGGCAUCUCAUACUGAUAUAUAGGGACCAACUUUUAACAGUAAAAAUAGAUAAAACUUUUAACA